rnacentral:rRNA from 1 species
GACGAACGCUGGCGGCGUGCUUAACACAUGCAAGUCGAACGGAAAGGCCCUGCUUUUGUGGGGUGCUCGAGUGGCGAAAGGGUGAGUAACACGUGAGUAACCUGCCCUUGACUUUGGGAUAACUUCAGGAAACUGGGGCUAAUACCGGAUAGGAGCUCCUGCUGCAUGGUGGGGGUUGGAAAGUUUCGGCGGUUGGGGAUGGACUCGCGGCUUAUCAGCUUGUUGGUGGGGUAGUGGCUUACCAAGGCUUUGACGGGUAGCCGGCCUGAGAGGGUGACCGGCCACAUUGGGACUGAGAUACGGCCCAGACUCCUACGGGAGGAAGCAGUGGGGAAUAUUGCACAAUGGGCGGAAGCCUGAUGCAGAAACGCCGCGUGCGGGAUGACGGCCUUCGGGUUGUAAACCGCUUUCGCCUGUGACGAAGCGUGAGUGACGGUAAUGGGUAAAGAAGCACCGGCUAACUACGUG